rnacentral:lncRNA from 1 species
CGCGGCGGGCGCGUGCGGGCGGGAAGCAAGAGUGUGUGCACCCCACCCGCUCGGCCUGCUGCCUGCAGCCCGCCCGCCGGCUGGCCGCCUCCGCUCUCCUGCAGCGUCUUUCUGCCUCCACUGGGCAGUGCAGCGAAGCUGGCCUCAGAGGCUCUGGGGGCAGUGACGAGCUCUUUUCAGGCGACUGACUUUGCUCGGCCACAGCUCCAACUGCGCGUGGCCUGGGCUGCCAGCGAGAAUGCUCCCCGCUCACUCCACGGGCUGCAUUUUGUAGCUUGUGGCUUGGCCGAGAGCCCACUUGGUCAUGUGGUCAUCGGGAGGUCUGGAGGGGGGGCCAGGAAGAGGGAGAGGGAGCAACUCUCCCGCACCGCCCCCCUCCUGGCACGCACGCACUGUGAGGCCCCAGCCAGGACGCGAGAGGGAACCCCGUGGUGGCCCCACGACAAAGGCUUCGCAGCCCUUCAGACCACGGACAACCCACAGCUGCUCCCGGCUACUCUUGCCCACGGUGACUUUGCCCUCUUGACGACAGAUAUGGCUCUACCUGCAUGCCACACUAUGUGGGCCUGCUGUUCUGCAAAGAGGGUUGACCGCCACUGUACCCAUUCUGGAAUCAAUCAAGGCCCAUGAAGCCAGGAAUGUUACUCUGAUUGCUCACUCUGAACCCUUUGUAGGCUCCCAUAAAUCUCAGUGUCAUAUUGAAACAACCAAUUUUCCUACCUGUCUCUGUCUGUCAGCUUUCACAAUCACACAGCACAGUGCCUCCCACAUAGUUGGUAUGCCAUAACUGCUUGUCAAAUAAAUAAAUAACUGCUAGCAG